ensembl:snRNA U6 U6 spliceosomal RNA
GUGGUUCAUAAAAAGGGAGAGCACAUUUACUAAAACUGGGAUGAUAUAGAGAAGAUUAGCAUGAUCCCUGCACUAAAAUGACAUGCAAAGCAAAAAGCAUUCUAUUUUUUU